GUGGAGAACUAGAUUUUAACUGAUAUCAGGAGGUUAUUGAGAUAUGGUGUAACAUGUCCUUAGCACUUUGAAAAUCUGGAAUUACUAAA
ensembl:ncRNA Y105C5A.1282 ncRNA